CCAACGUAUCUAAAAUACUGCUUUUCAACAUGGAAUCGUAUGUAAAUUAUUAGUAUGUUUUCACACAUUCUUCUCUUUACACUGGGCCUUUGCAUUCAGAGUACCACUCCAGGAGCCCAGCUGAUAUAUGGCUGCCUCCUGGGAAGGAGCCUGGGCACACAAGAGCCCCGUGCCCACUGGAGCCCGUGGUGGAGAUCGGGCUCCUUCUGCCGUGUCAGGGCGGCAGGCUCCAAGGAGGCUCUCAUGUGUGCAGAUGCACUGUCUCUUCAGUUGUGUCUGACUCUCUGCAACCCUGUGGACUGUAGCCUGCCAGGAUCCUCUGUCCAUAGGAUUCCCCAGGCAAACAUACUAGAGUAGAUUGCCAUGCUCACUUCUAGGGUAUCUUCCUGACCCAGGGAUGGAACCUGCAUCUCUUACAUCUCCUGCAUUGGCAGGCAAGUUCCUUACCACUAGUGCCACCUGGGAAGUCUGAGACUCUCCUGACUGCCCCCCAAAUACCACAUCAGGGUGCCGGAGAACGCUGAGAUGGGCAUCAGGAGCCCCCUCAAGGCCUGCCAUCCUCCACCUUGGGCCCGGCCUCUGUACCUCACCUGUGGGCUGGCCUGGGCCCCGAGCCUUGGAAACAUGCUCCAGGCAGGGAAGAUGAGUGACCACAGGCCUCAGUUUCCCUGUUUCCUUUCAGCCUGGCCUGAGAUCUGAUGCCCACUGGCAGGGACAGAGAUGCCCAGUGUCUUACUCUGUUCAGGCUAUUGUAACAAGAUACCACAGACGGUGGCUGUAGAGAGCAUAGUUUUCUCUCUUGGUCCUGGAGGCUGGCAGUCUGAGGUUGGGUGCCAGCAUGGUUGGGUUCUGGUGGGGCCCACAUCCAGGUCCUGUUCCUCAUGGGUAGGGCACAGCUGUGAGGGCGCUAAUUCUGCUAGUGCGGGCCUCACCCUCGAGACCCAGACACUUCCCAGGGCCCUACCUCCCUGACUGGGGUUAAGUUUCAACACAGGAAUUUGGGGGCCUCAAGCGUUCAGGCCACAGCAUCUGCGUGGCUCUCAGGCACCCUGCAGCCACGUUCCAGGUGCUUUCAUCACAGGCACCCUCUGGGGUAGGGGAGGAACAGACGCCCCUGUGGAUCCCCUUGCAGGCCUGGCUGCAGAUGGUGAUGGCCCAGCUUCCUCCUGGGAAGCAAGGUCUCCUAUCCUGGAGACCUGGGUCCCCCUGCAGGCCCGCACAGCACCGUCAAACACAUGCUCUGCAGGGAAGAUCCUCAUGCUGUCCAGGCUCCUUGCCAAGCCCGCCAGCCAGGCCAUGAGUCCAAAUGCUCAGACAGAGACGCUGCUGUCAGGGCUGGACUCUGACUCCCAAGAGGAAGUUCAAAAUGAAACAGUUUCACUAGUGAAAGAAAAGUUGCAGAGCCAAGCGCAGAUACCAGAAGUGGGAAAGCAGCGCUCUGAGUGCUUCCACCAGAUGGUGCGACUUGAAUGGAGGCAGCUUUUUACCUGGCACGAUGGAGCGGCCCCAGACUCGGGGACUGCUGGCAGAGCUGGGUCCUGGUCGAGUUGUCCACCGGCUCGUCCAAGUUAAAUAUUACUCACCGAGAUGCGAGCCCACUGGGCAGUGCUGGCCUGGAGGUGGACCGGUCUGGGGAAGGUGCUGGGCAGAGGCCAGUGCCAGGCCUGUGGCAUCUGUGGGUGCUGGGGGUGGGGCUGGGGUGGCAGCCAGGAGCCUGCCAGCCUUGGGCUCGCCCUUUGAAGGGGCUGUUUCCUUAACCCCUGCACUGUGCCCAGAGCAGGCAGGAGAGCGGGUAGUGGGUCCCUGGGCAGGGUGGGGCAUGGCGGGGCCACCCAGGGACCAAGAGGGGCUUGGACUGGGCUUGGCAAUGGCUUUCCUCCCGGUCGGUGGCUCCUGCCCUGUGCCAGGCUGGGGGCGGGACUGGGGACAAAGUGCUAGGAAGAACAGCCUGUCUCUUUCAAACCAACUUCUUUCCUGGCCCUCAGUUUUUCCCAGCAGCAAAGUAGAGGAACUGGGGUCUGGUGGCUGGACCCCUCCUCCUCUGGGGAAGAACCACCUGCUUCCCCUGGCAGCUUCUCCAUCCACCUACCAGUCAGUGACGGGCUGUGGCUCUGAGGUCCUUCCCGGCUGGCUUGGAGCAGGGUCCCCCAGACGGCCAUCCUCUGGGGCAGCAGAGCUGGGGGACUCACCAGGGCCAACCUCCCGCCAGCACCUGCCCCACUCUCCACGUGGACCCCAACGGGACCUGACCGCACCCAGCCUCAGGGCCUUUGCACCUACUGUGCCCUGCACUCACCUCUUACCCAUCACAGGGCACUGCUGGAAUGGACCUCCUGAGGAGCACUAUCUCCCUCGCUUGGUACCCCACCCACCUUCCCCGGCCCCAGUCUGUUCUUAAAAGCAUAUACCCCCGACUAAUACAGAACAUCUGGAAGUUUCAUUUUUCAUUGUCUCCCAUGAAAACAGAACCACUGGAGAACAGGAAUUCUUUCCUGCCUGUCUACAUGCGUAUCACAGUUUGGCCCUUGAUAAACCUGGUGGGGGAGACCGAUUCCAUAGUCAUGCCUAGUAUGGGGGUCUCACCCACAGUCACACAUCGCCUCUCAGGGCCAGAGCCCCCGGCCCACACUUGAAUCUCAGCCUAGGGUCCAAGAAUUCCGAACAGGGUCCCCUGUGAGAGGCCCGCAGGGUGUAAAGGAGACGCGGGGCUGUGGCUGUCCCAGAAGUCUGAGCCACCACAUAAAACCCUACAGGAGGGAGCUGUCUGGUGGCCUAAUGGUUAGGAUUCCUGGCUUCACUACCUGGAAACCCUGACCAAGGAACUGAGAUCCCUAAAGCCAUGCAGAGUAGCCAAUAAAAUAAAAUAAAAUAUUAAAACAAAAACAAAACCAAGGAAGAGAG
ensembl:lncRNA